UAGGGAUCUGGGGCAAAAUCAGUACUUGGCCCUGCUAGUGGAGGCGGGGGGUGGCUGGACUUGAUGACCUUUUGGGGUAGAUCUCUAUAUACAUAUACUUGCACUGUUACAAUAAAUGGUUUUUGCUACAGAAACCCUUCUGCCUGUAUACAAGGAUGUAAGAGUAGAAAAAAGUUAGUCAAAAAACAUUUCCACUUUGUUAUGGGCUGUAAGAUUUUCUGACAGGUACCUUAAGACUCUGUUGUCCUUUUAAAUACAAAAAAUUGAACUCAUCCCUGAUUUAGAACAUCAUAUUAACAGGGUUGCCAUGGAUCUGGAAUUAUCCUAAAUUUAUAGCUGCUAGGUUUUUGAGCAAAAAUCAAAGUGUUCCAAGGGUUCAGAAUAGCAUGAAAAGCUAGAGCCGCUCUCACGCCCACACCAGUGGCAUGGGAAUCUUAUGAACAGCUCCUCUCUGAUUGCUGUUUAGGUUUGAGGCAUAUUGGUGUCGUUGCAAUCACAGCAGUCCUGCUUCAGGCCAAAGGCCAGAACAGAAUUUUAACAGCAGUAGAAUCUCCUCAAGGUAGGCUUUGCCUUUCAUGUUUGAAGUCACAUACUGUACCUGAUACUGUAACCUGUCUCUCUCAGCUCUUUAUGGGGCCAUUUCAGAUGGUCUCAGCCUCCACCUGAAAUAUUAGGUUUUUAUGGUGUUCAAAUUGGUAUGUUUGUAGCCUAUAGGCUUGUCUUUUUGCCCUCCAUCUGGUUAGGACAAGUUUCCUAAAGCUGAUUAAACAAAUUUGUCAAUUUCAGGCUACAUGUAAGCAAAGCACUGGGUGCUUCCACCAGCUUCCAUUCUGAUGGUUUGGCUUUGCCCUGAUUAGCAGGGCUCAUCCAAUUGAUUAGAUCUUUCUUAAUGCCUCAUUAUCCAGCUUGGAGGCUUUAAUGGAGGCACACCUGGAACAGCAACUCAAAACAUGACGUUUACAAAGCAAGGAAGGUGCAAGCUUCUAUCUUAAGCUGUUCGAGGUAUGUCAUGUCGAUAUACCACCCUGUAAUUGGGUGCUCUAUUUAAAGAUGCACCCGAUUUUCUUCACUCAUUUUGUUUCAUGAUGGGAUGUUAAAGUGGUAAGAAAUACAUGGUGAAAUCUCACAAAGGGCUGGAGGGUUAGUGACCGGAUAACGGGAGUCCAGCAUAUUAACAAAAAUUUCAGUGGUUGACAGAUCACCCUUAGUCCGUCAGUAUGGAGUCCUCUUGCUAUUAUAACCAUAUGCCCAUUUGCGUCCUGCAUGUUGCCAUUGUUUGGGUACAGAGUGCUAUGGCCCUUCUGUUAUUAAAAGUAUGUUCUGAACAAUGAGUGGGGAAGAGGGAGUUGAAAACAGUGGUCAGAUUCGAUGGCAGAGGGAGUUUUGUAAACACUGGGGUUUCGAGCCAACAGAUUUGGGAAAAGAGACCCAGCGAGGGCAGUAUAGGGGAAGCAGAGAAUUGCACGGGGUGGACAAGCUUGCACUGCCUUCCAUCUGAGGUCCCUUCUGAAUCAAGCCGUGCUUGGAUCAGUCACUUAGCAUAAGCAGCAAAGAGUCCUGUGGCACCUUAUAGACUAACAGAC